rnacentral:rRNA from 1 species
UACGUAGGGUGCGAGCGUUGUCCGGAAUUAUUGGGCGUAAAGAGCUCGUAGGCGGUUCGUCGCGUCGAAUGUGAAAACCCGGGGCUCAACUCCGGGCCUGCAUUCGAUACGGGCGGACUAGAGUUCGGUAGGGGAGACUGGAAUUCCUGGUGUAGCGGUGAAAUGCGCAGGAUAUCAGGAGGAACACCGGUGGCGAAGGCGGGUCUCUGGGCCGAUGACUGACGUGAGGAGCGAAAGCGUGGGGAGCAAACAGG